rnacentral:rRNA from 1 species
UACGAAGGGGGCUAGCGUUGUUCGGAAUUACUGGGCGUAAAGCGUGCGCAGGCGGUUCUCCAAGUCAGUGGUGAAAGCCCGGAGCUCAACUCCGGAACUGCCAUUGAAACUGUAGAGCUAGAGUACGAGAGAGGUGAGUGGAAUUCCCGGUGUAGAGGUGAAAUUCGUAGAUAUCGGGAGGAACACCGGUGGCGAAGGCGGCGAUCUGGGUCGAUACUGACGCUGAGGUGCGAAAGCGUGGGGAGCAAACAGG